rnacentral:rRNA from 1 species
GACGAACGCUGGCGGCGUGCUUAACACAUGCAAGUCGAACGGAAAGGCCUUUUCGGAGGUACUCGAGUGGCGAACGGGUGAGUAACACGUGGGUGAUCUGCCCCGCACUCUGGGAUAAGCCUGGGAAACUGGGUCUAAUACCGGAUAGGACCGCACUUUAGUGUGUGUGGUGGAAAGUUUUUUCGGUGUAGGAUGAGCCCGCGGCCUAUCAGCUUGUUGGUGGGGUAAUGGCCUACCAAGGCGGCGACGGGUAGCCGGACUGAGAGGUUGGUCGGCCACAUUGGGACUGAGAUACGGCCCAGACUCCUACGGGAGGCAGCAGUGGGGAAUAUUGCACAAUGGGCGCAAGCCUGAUGCAGCGACGCCGCGUGGGGGAUGACGGCCUUCGGGUUGUAAACUCCUUUCGCCAGGGACGAAGCGUUUUGUGACGGUACCUGGAGAAGAAGCACCGGCUAACUACGUGCCAGCAGCCGCGGUAAUACGUAGGGUGCAAGCGUUGUCCGGAAUUACUGGGCGUAAAGAGCUCGUAGGUGGUUUGUCACGUCGUCUGUGAAAUUCCACAGCUUAACUGUGGGCGUGCAGGCGAUACGGGCUGACUUGAGUACUGUAGGGGUAACUGGAAUUCCUGGUGUAGCGGUGAAAUGCGCAGAUAUCAGGAGGAACACCGAUGGCGAAGGCAGGUUACUGGGCAGUUACUGACGCUGAGGAGCGAAAGCAUGGGUAGCAAACAGG